AAAUUAUUAAAAAAGGUUUUGUUGUUUGGUCCUGACAAAGGUAACAUAUUUUA
rnacentral:lncRNA from 1 species